rnacentral:rRNA from 1 species
CCUACGGGAGGCAGCAGUGAGGAAUAUUGGUCAAUGGACGAGAGUCUGAACCAGCCAAGUCGCGUGAAGGAUGACUGCCCUAUGGGUUGUAAACUUCUUUUAUAUGGGAAUAAAAUGUUCCACGUGUGGGCUUUUGUAUGUACCCUAUGAAUAAGGAUCGGCUAACUCCGUGCCAGCAGCCGCGGUAAUACGGAGGAUCCGAGCGUUAUCCGGAUUUAUUGGGUUUAAAGGGAGCGUAGGUGGAUUGUUAAGUCAGUUGUGAAAGUUUGCGGCUCAACCGUAAAAUUGCAGUUGAAACUGGCAGUCUUGAGUACAGGAGAGGUGGGCGGAAUUCGUGGUGUAGCGGUGAAAUGCUUAGAUAUCACGAAGAACUCCGAGUGCGAAGGCAGCUCACUGGACUGCAACUGACACUGAGGCUCGAAAGUGUGGGUAUCAAACAGGAUUAGAUACCCUAGUAGUC